rnacentral:rRNA from 1 species
GAUGAACGCUGGCGGCGCGCUUAACACAUGCAAGUCGAGCGAAGCGGCGGACGGGUGAGUAACACCUGAGUAACCUGCCUUAGACCUUGGGAUAGCCUCGGGAAACCGGGAUUAAUACCAAAUGGUCUAAGAUGGACUCGCGUCCCAUUAGCUAGUUGGUGGGUAACGGCCCACCAAGUCGACGAUGGGUAGCCGGCCUGUGAGGGUGAACGGCCACAUUGGAACUGAGAAACGGUCCAGACUCGACGGGAGGCAGCAGUGGGGAAUAUUGCACAAUGGAGGGAACUCUGAUGCAGCGACACCGGGUGAACUAAGAAGGCUUGCGAGUGGUAAAGUACUUUUAUAUGGGAAGCGGUACCAGAAGAAAGGGCCGCGGCAAACUACGUGCCAGCAGCCGCGGUAAUUC